AUUGAACGCUGGCGGCAUGCUUUACACAUGCAAGUCGAACGGCAGCGCGGGCUUCGGCCUGGCGGCGAGUGGCGAACGGGUGAGUAAUGCAUCGGAACGUGCCCAGUAGUGGGGGAUAGCCCGGCGAAAGCCGGAUUAAUACCGCAUACGACCUGAGAGUGAAAGCGGGGGACCGAAAGGCCUCGCGCUAUUGGAGCGGCCGAUGUCGGAUUAGCUAGUUGGUGGGGUAAAGGCUUACCAAGGCGACGAUCCGUAGCUGGUCUGAGAGGACGACCAGCCACACUGGGACUGAGACACGGCCCAGACUCCUACGGGAGGCAGCAGUGGGGAAUUUUGGACAAUGGGGGCAACCCUGAUCCAGCCAUGCCGCGUGCGGGAAGAAGGCCUUCGGGUUGUAAACCGCUUUUGUUCGGGAAGAAAUCCUCUGGGCUAAUACCCCGGGGGGAUGAGGUACCGGAAGAAUAAGCACCGGCUAACUACGUG
rnacentral:rRNA from 1 species